rnacentral:misc_RNA from 1 species
GAUGAAGAACGCAGCGAAAUGCGAUAAGUAGUGUGAAUUGCAGAAGUACCGUGAAUCAUCGAAUCUUUGAACGCAAAUUGCACUCUCUGGUAUUCCGGGGAGUAUGCCUGUUUGAGGGUCGCUUAACAAACCAUCGAUUUCGUUGCUUUUUUUUUUAAAGUGAUGUUUAUCGGAUUUGAGCCGUCUUUUUUUUUAUAUUUAAGUGGCUUAAAAUUGAUUUUUUUGGUACGAUCGAAGCGUAUUUUUAUGAUCAAUUUUUGGUUAAAGAAACGCACACGUACCGUUAUUUAUAUGAUGUAAUACGUUUGACUAUUGGAUUUAGUUCAUUCGUAUACGAUAUCUUUCAAUAUUUGACCUCAAAUCAGGUAAGAACACCCGCUGAACUUAAGCAUAUCAAUAAGCGGAGG